rnacentral:rRNA from 1 species
GACGAACGCUGGCGGCGUGCUUAACACAUGCAAGUCGAACGGAAAGGCCCUGCUUUUGUGGGGUGCUCGAGUGGCGAACGGGUGAGUAACACGUGAGUAACCUGCCCUUUACUUUGGGAUAACUUCAGGAAACUGGGGCUAAUACCGGAUAGGAGCUCCUGCUGCAUGGUGGGGGUGGGAAAGUUUCGGCGGUUGGGGAUGGACUCGCGGCUUAUCAGCUUGUUGGUGGGGUAGUGGCUUACCAAGGCUUUGACGGGUAGCCGGCCUGAGAGGGGGUCCGGCCACAUUGGGGCUGCGAUACGGCCCAGCCUCCUACGGGAGGCAGCAGUGGGGAAUAUUGCCCAAUGGGCGGAAGCCUGAUGCAGCAACGCCGCGUGCGGGAUGACGGCCUUCUGGUUGUAAACCGCUUUCGCCUGUGACGAAGCGUGAGUGACGGUAAUGGGUAAAGAAGCACCGGCUAACUACGUG